rnacentral:rRNA from 1 species
AGAAUGAACGCUGGCGGCGUGCUUAACACAUGCAAGUCGAGCGAGGCCAGGGGGGCAACUCCCUGAGUCGAGCGGCGGACGGGUGAGUAACACGUGGGUAACCUACCCGGAAGUGGGAAUACCUCGGGGAAACUCGAGCUAAUACCGCAUGAAAUCUCGAGGACGAAAGUCCUUUUGAUCAAAGCGGGGCCGCAAGGCCUCGUGCUACCGGAUGGGCCCGCGCCCGAUUAGCUAGUUGGCGAGGUAAUGGCUCACCAAGGCGACG